AGGAACUAAACACUUUAUACGCAUAUGAAUUAACUUUAAUUAUUUACACCAAUAAUUUGCAUUUAUUGCGCGGAAUGAACAAACUCACUCUUGUUCAAAAAUACAUAUUUUCGUGCAUUCAAAAAUCUCAAACUCGUCAGAUUAAGAAUUUUCCGAGGAGAAUGUACCCAAGCCAAACACUCGCUCUUACGCGACUAUAUAAACCGAGCAGUUUAUAACCGACAAACACUCAUUGUCAGUGCAACAUAUAAGGGAGCAUCAAUAGAGCAAGUUUAACAGUGCAAGAAAUUGUUAUAAGCACACGAUAAUACAUAUCCAAAGGUGACAGUAUACGCGAGACCAUACUUUGUUAUGCAUUUGGGAAUAUUUGGGAAAUAUUGUUCCAAGUUAGCCCUACCAGCGCAAUUUAAACGAAACUAUUGACACGCUUCAAUAUCGUGUAAAAGAUAUAACGUGAAAUGAAACAGCGAUUUGUCAGUGUGCCGAAUCGGGGUUCGAGCAUUUAGAGAGGCAAGUAGUUCAGCGCUACCCCCAACGGCACAGUGGGGUUCUUUGGAACCACUGGAUCUGAAUCAUAAAGGACGCUAGACUAUAAGAACCUAUCUCCUUUCGGAUGAGGCUGCAGUUCAACGACUUGAUACAC